ACGGCUCAGUAACACGUGGCUAACCCACCCUUGAGACGGAGAAAACCCCGGGAAACUGGGGUUAAUCUCCGAUAAGAGAAGACCCCUGGAAUGGGUCUUCUCUCAAAGGGCGCCUAGACCAUGCUUCUAGGCGUUGCUCAAGGACGGGGCCGCGGCCGAUCAGGUUGUUGGUGAGGCAACGGCUCACCAAGCCUAUAACCGGUACGGGCCGUGAGAGCGGGAGCCCGGAGAUGGGCACUGAGACAAGGGCCCAGGCCCUACGGGGCGCAGCAGUUGCGAAAACUCCGCAAUGCACGAAAGUGUGACGGGGCUACCCCGAGUGCCGUCCGCUGAGGGCGGCUUUUCCCCGGUGUAAGGAGCCGGGGGAAUAAGGAGAGGGCAAGUCUGGUGUCAGCCGCCGCGGUAAUACCAGCUCUCCGAGUGGUAGGGAUGAUUAUUGGGCUUAAAGCGUCCGUAGCCGGCCCGGCAAGUCUUCCGUUAAAUCCAACGAUUCGAUCGUUGGACUGCAGGCGAUACUGUUGGGCUAGGGGGCGGGAGAGGCCGACGGUAUUCUCGGGGUAGGGGUAAAAUCCUAUAAUCCCGGGAGGACCACCAGUGGCGAAGGCGGUCGGCUAGAACGCGCUCGACGGUGAGGGACGAAAGCUGGGGGAGCGAACCGGAUUAGAUACCCGGGUAGUCCCAGCUGUAAACGAUGCGGGCUAGGUGUUGGGGCGGCUACGGGCCGCUUCAGUGCCGCAGGGAAACCAUUAAGCCCGCCGCCUGGGGAGUACGGCCGCAAGGCUGAAACUUAAAGGAAUUGGCGGGGGA
rnacentral:rRNA from 1 species